rnacentral:tRNA from 1 species
GGCGCCAUCGUCUAGGGGUUAGGACGCCGCCCUCUCACGGCGGAAACAGGGGUUCGAUUCCCCUUGGCGCUACCA